UACGUAUGGGGCAAGCGUUAUCCGGAUUUACUGGGUGUAAAGGGAGCGUAGGCGGCGGGGCAAGCCUGAUGUGAAAGCCCGGGGCUCAACCCCGGGACUGCAUUGGGAACUGCCCUGCUGGAGUGCCGGAGGGGCAGGCGGAAUUCCUAGUGUAGCGGUGAAAUGCGUAGAUAUUAGGAGGAACACCAGUGGCGAAGGCGGCUUGCUGGACGGUGACUGACGCUGAGGCUCGAAAGCGUGGGGAGCAAACAGG
rnacentral:rRNA from 1 species